rnacentral:rRNA from 1 species
AGGUCCUACGGGGGGCAGCAGUCGGGAAUAUUGCGCAAUGGAGGAAACUCUGACGCAGUGACGCCGCGUAUAGGAAGAAGUUUUUCGGAAUGUAAACUAUUGUCGUUAGGGAAGAGAAAGGACAGUACCUAAGGAGGAAGCCCCGGCUAACUACGUGCCAGCAGCCGCGGUAAUACGUAGGGGGCAAGCGUUAUCCGGAUUUACUGGGUGUAAAGGGAGCGUAGACGGCAUGGCAAGUCAGAUGUGAAAGCCCGGGGCUCAACCCCGGGACUGCAUUUGAACCUGUCAGGCUGGAGUGCAGGAGG